GCUGCCUAGUCAGUUCUGCGUCCGCUGAGGCUCGGUCACCGCCUCGCUGUCGUCGCGGCGCCCCCGCCCCGUCCUCUGUCCGUACAGCCCCUGGAGCCAGGGCUGAGUCCUCGCCAUGCCGGCCCGGCGGCUGCUGCUGCUGCUGACGCUGCUGCUGCCCGGCCUCGGGAUUUUUGGAAGUACCAGCACAGUGACGCUUCCUGAAACCUUGUUGUUUGUGUCAACGCUGGAUGGAAGUUUGCAUGCUGUCAGCAAAAGGACAGGCUCAAUCAAAUGGACUUUAAAAGAAGGUAAGUUGGAUUUGGUCCUUGGGCAACAUGGACAUUUGCUUAACUGGUUCCACAGAAACGUAUUCUGGAGAAAGAGAAAACAUUACUUAUUAUCUAAUAAAAUAAAUAAGAAAUAAAAGAAGAAUGGGAUCAAGAGAGGAAAAGGCAUUCUGCUCAAAGGAUGUUUAUAGCUUUGCUGUGGUUAUCCACUAAGUGCAUCAGUUAAAGAAGCACAUUUUAUCUUCUUUUUUGCUU
rnacentral:sRNA from 1 species